rnacentral:rRNA from 2 species
CCUACGGGCGGCUGCAGUGGGGAAUAUUGCACAAUGGGCGCAAGCCUGAUGCAGCGACGCCGCGUGAGGGAAGAAGGCCUUCGGGUCGUAAACCUCUGUCCAAGGGGAAGAAAAAAAUGACGGUACCCUUGGAGGAAGCCCCGGCUAACUACGUGCCAGCAGCCGCGGUAAUACGUAGGGGGCAAGCGUUAUCCGGAAUUACUGGGCGUAAAGAGUGCGUAGGUGGCUGCUCAAGCGCGGGGUUUAAGACAACGGCCCAACCGUUGUCCGCCCCGCGAACUGGGUAGCUUGAGUACAGGAGAGGAAGGCGGAAUUCCUAGUGUAGCGGUGAAAUGCGUAGAUAUUAGGAGGAACACCGGUGGCGAAGGCGGCCUUCUGGACUGUAACUGACACUGAGGCACGAAAGCGUGGGUAGCAAACAGGAUUAGAUACCCCAGUAGUC